rnacentral:lncRNA from 1 species
CCCCCAGCAGCCGGCUCGACACCGCCCUUUCCCUCUGAAGGGCCACUCGUUUUAGCCACGUCCUCUUAUUGUCCCUCCCCUGGCCACACCCCUUCAGACAUGCGUAGUGCUCCCCUUGGUCCAGCGCGGGAAGCUCCCUCAUUAACUCUUAAGUACUCCACAACUACACGCUUUUGAAACUGGCGUUGGCAUAGCGUUAGUUCUGUGCAGGGCGGACGCAGCAGGACAGAAUCUCCCUGGGCAUCUUUUCGGAGCAUCAAUUUUACUGCAAAAUUUUGAAAAAACAAAUUUAAUUGAUUUCCAAGGUUUGUCAAGGAGGACAGAAACUCAGAGCACCCUGCACUUGGGGAUCGGCACUAGGAGCUGCUCUCUGGAUGGGGAGAUGGGAGCUAGCAGCUCACAAUGGGGUCACAAGAAUAUUGGUUCUUCUUUUAUCUGAAGUGAGGAGCACCAGAGGACUGAUCACGGCAUAGACAUUGACUACAAGACUCUGAACUUGCUG